rnacentral:rRNA from 1 species
CAGUAGCCGCGGUAAUACGAAGGGGGCUAGCGUUGUUCGGAAUUACUGGGCGUAAAGCGCACGCAGGCGGCUCGAUAAAUUAGAAGUGAAAGCCUUGGGCUUAACCUGAGAAUUGCUUUUAAGACUGUCGAGCUAGAAUCCAGAAGAGGGUAGUGGAAUUCCGAGUGUAGAGGUGAAAUUCGUAGAUAUUCGGAAGAACACCAGUGGCGAAGGCGACUACCUGGUCUGGCAUUGACGCUCAUGUGCGAAAGCGUGGGGAGCAAACAGGAUUAGAGACCCCCGUAGUCCCUGUCUCUUAUAA